AUCACCUAGGGAUCUUAUUAAACUGAAAAUUCUGAUGCAGCAUGACUGAGUAGGGCCCUGAGAUUCUUCACUUCUAACAAGUUCUCAGGUGAUGCUGA
rnacentral:pre_miRNA from 1 species